rnacentral:lncRNA from 1 species
CUGAGUUAGCCCCCUGGGGGCUGUGCCUUUGUCCCGAUUGUGUGUCUCCGCCACAGCAGAGCCGGGCAGCCCCCAGAGAGUGGGGAGGCCAACGUGUAUCCAGCGCCCUGGCACCUGAAGAUCAGAGGUGGUGAGAGGUGGCGCAUCAAGCACAGUCCUGAUGACACCAUCCUAUGGCCACCACCCUGAGCCUACUGUGGCUCCUGAGACCUUUCUCCUGUUUGUCAACCUGGUUCAGAGUGCCCCAGCUUCCAAGCCUGAAAGCUGAUACUGACUCCAAUUCUUAGAGUUUGAAUUUAGGCAAAAGUAGUUGGAGACAGCUGCCAAUGCUUUGACUCUACCCUGCUGCUUCAUCUCAACUCUGGGCACUGUCCAGCAGGGGCCCAAGCCCCCCCUCCCACCUCUGGCAGCCUAUUAACUUCUUAUUUGGGGAGUUGAGGGAUCUAAUAGCCCUUUGGCUUAUAGACUGGGCAUUCUCUGCAGGGUGCUCUUUAUGGAAACCCAAAGCUUUUCAGGUGCCUCUUCCCCAGGAUCAAUAGGUUUUUAUUUCUUCCCCUAGGGUGAGGAAUCAGAACUGAGAUGGUGCUAGCUUGGCAGGUGGAAAGGAAGGGAAAGGGAUGUCGUUGCAGGACUGAGCAGUUCCUGGCUCCAUUCCCCUACCCCUACACAUAUCCCAAAGGUGGUGGGAGGCACCAACAGCAGAAGAGGCCUGAACAGGAGAGGAGGGAAUAGGGGAGAAGGGGAAAUUCUCAAGCUGGCUGGGAGCAGUUGUUGCUCUUAGGGGAUAGGUUGGGUGUUUCACAGCUCCCCUUGCCCUUCUGAUCCUCCCCUGUGGGGAGGGGUUAGGAUUAGGGACAGACAUUAGAGCUUAGAAGGGGUUAGUGUUUGUCUGAAGUUAGGGUUAAGGCUAAGGUUCAACCUAGACCUAGGAACAGGAAGAGGGUUAGAGUUAGAGAUAGGUUUAGGGCCGUGGGUAGGAUUAGAACUCCCACUGACUCUGGUGAAUGUGCACACAGAGGUAUCACACUGGUGGUGUUAGUAACAAAAUCCUCAUUCUGGUUCUUUAUGGGAAUGGCUAGCUUAGUAGUUUGGUUAUGGACCACAUUAGGGUUUCCUUUGGUUACAUCGGUUUAAGCCUAGCCUGCAUUUGGAUUCUAGCCUACCUGCUCCCUUCUCUCCCACCAGCAUCUCUGAGCUUCUCGGUCCAGCACCAGGCUCAUCACCUAUUAUCUGGAUCUCCCUGAGCCCAAGAUUGGGAGUGGGGCUCCUGAUAAGAGGUGGGGCUGCCUGUGUGGCCCAG